rnacentral:other from 1 species
GUUUCAAUUUCUUAUAGGUAGUCUAAAAUC